rnacentral:rRNA from 1 species
UACAGAGGGUGCAAGCGUUAAUCGGAAUUACUGGGCGUAAAGCGUGCGUAGACGGUCAUGUAAGUCGGGUGUGAAAGCCCCGGGCUCAACCUGGGAAUUGCAUUCGAGACUGCAUGGCUAGGGUGCGGAAGAGGGAAGCGGAAUUUCCGGUGUAGCGGUGAAAUGCGUAGAUAUCAAGAGGAACACCUGAGGUGAAGACGGGUUGCUGGGCCGACACUGACGCUGACAGCGCGAAAGCCAGGGGAGCAAACGGG